GAUGAACGCUGGCGGCAGGCCUAACACAUGCAAGUCGAGCGAGCGGCGGACGGGUGAGUAAUGUCUGGGAAACUGCCUGAUGGAGGGGGAUAACUACUGGAAACGGUAGCUAAUACCGCAUACCAUCAGAUGUGCCCAGAUGGGAUUAGCUAGUAGGUGGGGUAAGGGCUCACCUAGGCGACGAUCCCUAGCUGGUCUGAGAGGAUGACCAGCAACACUGGAACUGAGAAAGGGUCCAGACUCCUAGGGGGGGCAGCGGGGGGAAAUAUUGAACAAUGGGCGCAAGCCUGAUGCAGCCAUGCCGGGUGUAUGAGGAGGGCCUUGGGUUGGUAAAUUACUUUCGGCGGGGAGACGUUACCCGCAGAAGAAGCACCGGCUAACUCCGUGCCAGCAGCCGCGGUAAUC
rnacentral:rRNA from 1 species